rnacentral:rRNA from 1 species
GACGAACGCUGGCGGCGUGCUUAACACAUGCAAGUCGAACGGAAAGGCCCACCACCUUGGUGGUGGGUACUCGAGUGGCGAACGGGUGAGUAACACGUGGGUGAUCUGCCCCGCACUGUGGGAUAAGCCUGGGAAACUGGGUCUAAUACCACAUACGACCAUGGCGUAGGGGUCAUGGUGGAAAGCUUUAUUGCGGUGUGGGAUGAGCCCGCGGCCUAUCAGCUUGUUGGUGGGGUAACGGCCUACCAAGGCGGCGACGGGUAGCCGGCCUGAGAGGGUGGACGGCCACAUUGGGACUGAGACACGGCCCAGACUCCUACGGGAGGCAGCAGUGGGGAAUAUUGCACAAUGGGCGCAAGCCUGAUGCAGCGACGCCGCGUGGGGGAUGAAGGCCUUCGGGUUGUAAACUCCUUUCGCCCGGGACGAAGCCCACC